rnacentral:lncRNA from 1 species
UGACCACCGACUUGAUGAUUUCCUUUUGGAUUACAUAAUCCAUGAACAACUGUUAUCACUUAUUGAUGAAUGAUAACAACUGUCAAUUACAGAAUCUUAGAUAAAUAAAGUACAGAACUCGGAACUUUCUGCGGUGUCGGCGUGCGCUAUACAAUGUGCUUUUAAUUACUCCGGUAUAAGUGAUGUCAAAAAUUAUUAAUAGGUAUAUCAAAAAUGGCACAAAAAGUAUGUUUUGUUGAAACAAAACUAACUGGUGAAGAGUUGAUUAAGGCAAUUACACUGAGAAAAGAAAACACUGAAACAAAAACUCAUAAGAAGAGAUAAUCGAGUUUAAUCAAUGAAAUAUAAAUCCG